UACGUAGGGUCCGAGCGUUGUCCGGAAUUACUGGGCGUAAAGAGCUCGUAGGUGGUUUGUCGCGUUGUUCGUGAAAACUCACAGCUCAACUGUGGGCGUGCGGGGCGAUACGGGCAGACUAGAGUACUGCAGGGGAGACUGGAAUUCCUGGUGUAGCGGUGGAAUGCGCAGAUAUCAGGAGGAACACCGGUGGCGAAGGCGGGUCUCUGGGCAGUAACUGACGUGGAGGAGCGAAAGCGUGGGGAGCGAACAGGA
rnacentral:rRNA from 1 species